rnacentral:rRNA from 1 species
UGAGUAACCUGCCCUUAACUCUGGGAUAAGCCUGGGAAACUGGGUCUAAUACCGGAUAUGACUCCUCAUCGCAUGGUGGGGGGUGGAAAGCUUUUGUGGUUUUGGAUGGACUCGCGGCCUAUCAGCUUGUUGGUGAGGUAAUGGCUCACCAAGGCGACGACGGGUAGCCGGCCUGAGAGGGUGACCGGCCACACUGGGACUGAGACACGGCCCAGACCUCCGUACGGGAGGCAG